rnacentral:lncRNA from 1 species
GCGGGUGUUCGGCUACAUCACUGGGGCGCCAUGGUGCCUGGAGCUGGGCAGUUUUCUCAUCAGAGUGGGGACUGAUGAUGAUUAUUCCCCACCUUCUAAGAGACAAAGACCAACGAGCCACCACAGCCACCAGUCCCAGAACCCGCCAAUGCUGGGGAACGGAAAAUGAGGGAGUUCAACUCUGGCCCUCACAAUCCAGUGGAGGAGACGCAACUCAUCUGCCUCUGUCCCUCUGGGCACGCCUCAUGCCAGGUGCAUCUGUGGACAGGGGCCAUGCUCCUGGGCUUCCAAAGUUGGAGAAAGCUGCCAGGCUCAGGUCUGAAGGCCAGAAUUCUACAGUAAGUCCUACUGAGUCAAGGUGGGAGCAGGGUCGGUAGCUUCCGAGGCUCUGCGGGAGAAUCUGUUUCCUGGCCGUAGAGGUGGCCUGCACUCCUCAGCCUGUGCUGCCCGUCUCGAAUGACUGGAGUUUCCUGCUUCUGUCACUACACCUCCCACCCUCUCCAUCACCUGCUCUGCUCUUACAAGGAUCCAGAGAAAUGGAAUCAUCGUAUCGCUGAUCUACGUAAACAAACUGAAGAAUUGUCUGAAAGAAAAUAUGACAUGAACUUAUGAAUUCAACAGGUGAAGAUUUACAACUUGAUAAAUCAACUUUGUCAGCUCGAGCUGUAAAAGCCAAAGGUCCGGUGAUGAUCCCAUACCCUUUUUUCCAGUCUCAUGUUGAAGAUUUUUAUGUAGAAGGCCUUCCCAAAGGAAUUUUUUUUUUUUUUUUUUGAGAUGGAGUUUUCACUCUUAUCGCCCAGGCUGGGGUGCAAUGGCGCAACCUUGCUGGUCACUGCAACCUCUGCCUCCUGGGUUCAAGAAAUUCUCCUGCCUUAGCCUCCCAAGUCACUGGGAUUACAGGUGCCCACCACCACACCAGGCUAAUUUUUGUAUUUUUAGUGGAGAUGCGGUUUCACCAUGUUGGCCGGGCCAGUCUCGAACUCCUGACGUCAAGUGAUCUUCCCGCCUCGACUCCUGAUAUCAAGUGAUCUUCCCGCCUCGGCCUCCCAGAGUGCUGAGAUUACAGACGUGAACCCAUGCCUGGCCAGGAAUUUUGUUUUUUAGGAAGGCUUUCUACUAAUGGAAUUCCUGGCCUUGAGAGGAUGUUACUUUAGAAGGAAAGGAUUUUUUUGUUAUUAAAAGAGCCACCUAAGCUGAAGAUUCCCUUGAGAACAAGUACUGUCCCUAGUUUCCCAGUGCUGGAAUAUAGAAAAUGGAUGGACAAGUAAAUCCCACUCAGCACCCAUAGUCCAGGCAUGGGGACCUCAACACACCUGAGCCCCAGACAUCACCUUUCAUUCUGGACCUACCAUGAAAGACUUCUGAAUCCAGGAAGAGAAACUGACUGGGCAACAUGUUAUUCAGAGAUGGCAUCUUGCUCUGUUGCUUAGGCUACAGUACAGUGACAUGAUCAUGGUUCACUGUAGCCUCAAACUCCUGGGCUCAAGUGGUUCUCUCACUUCAGUCUCCCAAGUAGCUGGGACUACAGACAUGUGCCACCAUGUCCAGAGAUGGGACCUCAGUAUGUUGCCAUGGCUGACCUUGAACUCCUGCACUCAAGGGAUUUUCCUACCCUGGCCUCCCAAAGUAUUGGUAUUACAGGCAUGAGCCAUUGUGCCCACCGUCUCUGGUUCUUAACCUUCUGCCUCCCUCUUCCAGUUUUAAAGAAUGCUUGUAAUUACAUGGGCUCUCCUAGAUACUCCAGGAUAAUCUUGUUUUAAGGUCAGCUGAUGAGCAACAUUAAUUUUAUCUGCACUCUUAAUUCCCCCUUCCUAUGUAAUUGUGCUGUGUAACAUAGGACAUGAGCAAUUGGUGGCGGUGGGGGUUAUUACUUUGGCCACCACAGUAACUAUUUUAUGCCAGGUACUCAGCUAAGCACUGGUGAAUUAAGCAUGAAUAACACACACUCCCUAAUCUCCAUCCAUUCAUGGGAGGAGCACUUCACCUGCCAUGCUCCUGAGAAUCUCGGGAGUCAUAGAAGUCUUCUAUGAGGAGGUGAUGCCAAAGCGGACAAGUGACAGAGGAGUCAAAGCUAGCUAGGAAGAGAGUAGAGGUUUAAGGGGAAGCAUAUUAUAAGCAGAGGAUAUUACCCACUUCAGAGACUCCCAGAGGAGAAAGAGUGUGCGUUCAAGGGGCAGAUGAGGCUCAGUUGGACUCCAUAGCAGAUGAAAUGGAGAGGGGCAAGCAGUGAGGCUGCCUUGCAAGGCAGGGCAGAGCAGGGGCUGUUAAGGAGUUUGGACUUAAUCCCUGAGGCAAGGAGAAGUGAUGUAAAUGGGGGAGUAACAUGAUGAGAUUCAUAGAUUAGAGACAUGGCUCAGGCUGCUGUAGAGAAGGCACCAGGAAGAGCAGAUGGCUCAAUGUGUGUGCAGAAGACCUCUCCCUGAGUUUAGGGAGAGGUUUUUAAAACAGAAGAAGUUUGAGUAAUUUAAAUGAUGAUGGGAAGGAGCUAAAAGUGGGGGAUAGGUUAAAGAUACAGGAAAGUGGGAGGAAGAACUGACAAGUGAGGUUCCAGAGAGGG